rnacentral:misc_RNA from 1 species
GAUGAAGAACGUAGCGAAAUGCGAUAAGUAAUGUGAAUUGCAGAAUUCAGUGAAUCAUCGAAUCUUUGAACGCACAUUGCGCCCGCCAGUAUUCUGGCGGGCAUGCCUGUUCGAGCGUCAUUUCAACCAUCAAGCCCUGCUUGCGUUGGGGUCCUGCGGCUGCCCGCAGGCCCUGAAAACCAGUGGCGGGCUCGCUAGUCACACCGAGCGCAGUAAUACAUCUCGCUUUGGGCGUGCGGCGGGUUCUUGCCGUUAAACACCCCCUUUUUACCAAGGUUGACCUCGGAUCAGGUAGGAAUACCCGCUGAACUUAAGCAUAUCAAUCAGCGGAGGA